UGAACGCUGGCUACAGGCUUAACACAUGCAAGUCGAGGGGAAACGACGGGGAAGCUUGCUUCCCCGGGCGUCGACCGGCGCACGGGUGAGUAACGCGUAUCCAACCUGCCUCUGACUGAGGGAUAACCCGUCGAAAGUCGGCCUAAUACCUCAUGGCAUCGUCUGCGGGCAUCCAACGACGAUUAAAGAUUUCAUCGGUCAGGGAUGGGGAUGCGUCUGAUUAGCUUGUUGGCGGGGUAACGGCCCACCAAGGCUACGAUCAGUAGGGGUUCUGAGAGGAAGGUCCCCCACAUUGGAACUGAGACACGGUCCAAACUCCUACGGGAGGCAGCAGUGAGGAAUAUUGGUCAAUGGGCGGGAGCCUGAACCAGCCAAGUAGCGUGCAGGAUGACGGCCCUAUGGGUUGUAAACUGCUUUUAUGCGGGGAUAAAGUGAGGGACGUGUCCUUCAUUGCAGGUACCGCAUGAAUAAGGACCGGCUAAUUCCGUG
rnacentral:rRNA from 1 species